GAUGAACGCUGGCGGCGUGCCUAAUACAUGCAAGUCGAGCGAACAGACGAGGAGCUUGCUCCUCUGACGUUAGCGGCGGACGGGUGAGUAAAACGUGGAUAACCUACCUAUAAGACUGGGAUAACUUCGGGAAACCGGAGCUAAUACCGGAUAAUAUAUUGAACCGCAUGGUUCAAUAGUGAAAGACGGUUUUGCUGUCACUUAUAGAUGGAUCCGCGCCGCAUUAGCUAGUUGGUAAGGUAACGGCUUACCAAGGCAACGAUGCGUAGCCGACCUGAGAGGGUGGUCGGCCACACUGGAACUGAGACACGGUCCAGACUCCUGCGGGAGGCAGCAGUAGGGAAUCUUCCGCAAUGGACGAAAGCCUGACGGAGCAACGCCGCGUGAGUGAUGAAGGUCUUAGGAUCGUAAAACUCUGUUAUUAGGGAAGAACAAAUGUGUAAGUAACUAUGCACGUCUUGACGGUACCUAAUCAGAAAGCCACGGCUAACUACGUG
rnacentral:rRNA from 1 species